rnacentral:rRNA from 1 species
AUUGAACGCUGGCGGCAUGCCUUACACAUGCAAGUCGAACGGUAACAGGUCUUCGGAUGCUGACGAGUGGCGAACGGGUGAGUAAUACAUCGGAACGUGCCCGAUCGUGGGGGAUAACGAAGCGAAAGCUUUGCUAAUACCGCAUAAGAUCUACGGAUGAAAGCAGGGGACCGCAAGGCCUUGCGCGAACGGAGCGGCCGAUGGCAGAUUAGGUAGUUGGUGGGAUAAAAGCUUACCAAGCCGACGAUCUGUAGCUGGUCUGAGAGGACGACCAGCCACACGAGGACUGAGACACGGCCCAGACUCCUACGGGAGGCAGCAGUGGGGAAUUUUGGACAAUGGGCGAAAGCCUGAUCCAGCCAUGCCGCGUGCAGGAUGAAGGCCUUCGGGUUGUAAACUGCUUUUGUACGGAACGAAAAGACUCUGGUUAAUACCUGGGGUCCAUGACGGUACCGUAAGAAUAAGCACCGGCUAACUACGUG